rnacentral:rRNA from 1 species
ACUCAAAUGAAUAGACGGGGGCCCGCACAAGCAGCGGAGCGUGUGGUUUAAUUCGAGGCUACCCGAAGAACCUUACCUGGGUUUGACAUCACCGUAGUAGCGAGACGAAAGUUGAGCGACCUUUUGGGAGCGGUGACAGGUGCUGCAUGGCUGUCGUCAGCUCGUGUCGUGAGAUGUACGGUUAAGUCCGCAAACGAGCGCAACCCCUGGGAGCAGUUACACGCAGUCUGCUCCGACUGCCUGUGAGAAACGGGAGGAAGGUGGGGAUGACGUCAAGUCAGCAUGGCCUUGAUAUCCAGGGCGACACACACGCUACAAUGGACGGUACAGAGGGGAGCGAGACCGCGAGGUGGAGCCAAUCCCACAAAGCCGUUCGUAGUUCGGAUUGCAGGCUGCAACCCGCCUGCAUGAAGCUGGAGUUGCUAGUAACCGCCGGUCAGCCAAACGGCGGUGAAUACGUUCCCGGGCCUUGCACACACCGCCCGU